GACAGAGGCCUCAAGCGUUAGGCGGAAUCACUGGGCUUAAAGCGUGUGUAGGCGGAUCGUUAAGUGUCUUGUGAAAUCCCACGGCUCACCCGUGGAACGGCUGGGCAUACUGGCGAUCUUGGGCCAACUAGGGGCAACUGGAACAAGCGGUGGAGCGGUGAAAUGCGUAGAUAUCGCUUGGAACGCCGAAGGUGAAAACAGGUUGCUGGGGUUGUGCCGACG
rnacentral:rRNA from 1 species